rnacentral:ncRNA from 1 species
CCUCAUGUGGCCCCUGUUGGUUCCUGUUUUAGGACAGGCGAAGAGGGAAUGCGAUAGAUCGCCGUUUGAUCAAAGCGCAGCCGCCCCCGCGACCGUGACCGGAGAGGUCGCCGCGCCACUGGCACAAUGCCGGGAAGGUGGGUGAACCGCCGGGGCAAACGCCCCGAUAUCCGCAAGCCGGGAGACCUGCCAACGAAGUGAGUUGCAAC